rnacentral:rRNA from 1 species
UCGAGAAUCUUCGGCAAUGGGGGCAACCCUGACCGAGCGGCGCCGCGUGGGCGAUGAAGGCCUUCGGGUUGUAAAGCCCUGUCGAGAGGGAGAAAAGGGUAACACCUUGAUCUAUCUCUGGAGGAAGCACGGGCUAAGUUCGUGCCAGCAGCCGCGGUAAGACGAACCGUGCGAACGUUGUUCGGAAUCACUGGGCUUAAAGGGCGCGUAGGCGGGCUGCCGCGUCCGGGGUGAAAUCCUUCCGCUCAACGGAAGAACGGCCCCGGGUACGGGCGGUCUCGAGGGAGGUAGGGGCGUGCGGAACUCUGAGUGGAGCGGUGAAAUGCGUUGAUAUUCAGAGGAACUCCGGUGGCGAAGGCGGCACGCUGGACCUCUUCUGACGCUGAGGCGCGAAAGCUAGGGUAGCGAACGGGAUUAGAUACCCCCGUAGUCC